rnacentral:rRNA from 1 species
AUUGAACGCUGGCGGCAGGCCUAACACAUGCAAGUCGAGCGGAUGAAGGCAGCUUGCUCCUGGAUUCAGCGGCGGACGGGUGAGUAAUACCUAGGAAUCUGCUUGGUAUUGGUGGAUAACGUCCUGAAACGGGCGCUAAUACCGCAUACGUCCUGCUGGAGAUAGUGGGGGGUCUUCGGACCUCACGCUAUCAGAUGAGCCUAGGUCGGAUUAGCUAGUUGGUGGGGUAAGGGCCUACCAAGGCGACGAUCCGUAAGUGGUCUGAGAGGAUGGUCAGUCACCUGGGAAGGGGGACACGGACCUGAGUACUGCGGGAGGGAGCAGUCGGGAACAUUGGGCAGUAGGCGAAAGUAUGAUCCAGCGAGGGGGAGUGUGAUACGACGGUGUUGGGAUUGGAAAGAACGUUAAGUUGUGAUGAAGCGCAGUCAGCUAAUACGUUGCUGUAUUGACGGUACCAACAGAAUAAGCACCGGCUAACUACGUG